rnacentral:rRNA from 1 species
AUUGAACGCUGGCGGCAGGCCUAACACAUGCAAGUCGAACGAGUGGCGGACGGGUGAGUAAUGUCUGGGAAACUGCCCGAUGGAGGGGGAUAACUACUGGAAACGGUAGCUAAUACCGCAUACCAUCGGAUGUUCCCAGAUGGGAUUAGCUAGUAGGGGUGGUAACGGAUCACCUAGGCGACGAUCCCUGGCUGGUCUGCGAGGAUGACCAGCCACUCUGGAACUUAGACACGGCCCAGACUCCUACGGGAGGCAGCAGUGGGGAAUUUUGGACAAUGGGUGAAACCCUGAUCCAGCCAUCCCGCGUGUGCGAUGAAGGCCUUCGGGUUGUAAAGCACUUUUGGCAGGAAAGCGGUACCUGCAGAAUAAGCACCGGCUAACUACGUGCCAGCAGCCGCGGUAAUCC